UACGGAGGGUCCGAGCGUUAUCCGGAAUCAUUGGGUUUAAAGGGUCCGUAGGCGGGCUAUUAAGUCAGAGGUGAAAGUUUGCGGCUCAACCGUAAAAUUGCCUUUGAUACUGGUAGUCUUGAAUUAAUAUGAAGUGGUUGGAAUGUGUAGUGUAGCGGUGAAAUGCAUAGAUAUUACACAGAACACCAAUUGCGAAGGCAGAUCACUAAUAUUAUAUUGACGCUGAGGGACGAAAGCGUGGGUAGCGAACAGG
rnacentral:rRNA from 1 species